AAUAGUGAUAGGGCUACUCUCUAUUGGCAUGCACUUAUAUAUGUAUAGUGACUCAACUUGAUAUCAUAACAUAUUCAGCUGACACGCCAAAGGAGAGCUGCCCUGUUACUGUCUC
rnacentral:pre_miRNA from 1 species